AGUGAACGCUGGCGGCAGGCCUAACACAUGCAAGUCGAACGGCAGCACAGAGGAGCUUGCUCCUUGGGUGGCGAGUGGCGGACGGGUGAGGAAUACAUCGGAAUCUGCCUAUUUGUGGGGGAUAACGUAGGGAAACUUACGCUAAUAUCGCAUACGACCUACGGGUGAAAGCGGAGGACCUUCGGGCUUCGCGCAGAUAGAUGAGCCGAUGUCGGAUUAGCUAGUUGGCGGGGUAAAGGCCCACCAAGGCGACGAUCCGUAGCUGGUCUGAGAGGAUGAUAAGCCACACUGGAACUGAGACACGGUCCAGACUCCUACGGGAGGCAGCAGUGGGGAAUAUUGGACAAUGGGCGCAAGCCUGAUCCAGCCAUGCCGCGUGGGUGAAGAAGGCCUUCGGGUUGUAAAGCCCUUUUGUUGGGAAAGAAAAGCAGUCGGUUAAUACCCGAUUGUUCUGACGGUACCCAAAGAAUAAGCACCGGCUAACUUCGUGCCAGCCGCCGCCGUAA
rnacentral:rRNA from 1 species